GAACCGGGGUUGCACGGUUUUCAUGUUGAAAAACUCCUGUUAUUUCGCUGCUUCGGUGCCGAACCAGAGCCGGGUUUG
rnacentral:tRNA from 1 species